AGUUUGGUCUAGUGGUUAAGACACCUGGCUAGAAACCAGGAGACUGUGAGUUCUAGUCCUGCCUUAGCUA
rnacentral:tRNA from 1 species